AAUUGAAAAUGAUGGAAGUAAUGAACGGGUGAUGAUCUAUUUCAUAUGAUCAAUAAAUCCAUUUCGCUGCGUUCUUUCUGAUUCGUUA
rnacentral:snoRNA from 1 species